CUUUGAAAACAGCUCUUCCUGUACCUUAUGACUUCUGAAGGGCUAGAAUCCAGGGCAGCUAUAAGGUGAAACAUGGCCAGCUAGCACUCCAUCUCCCUGGCCAAAGUGAGGAGUUCAGAAGUGGGCAUGUCCAAGUUCUACCACUGUGAUCUGAGAGACCAACGUAGACACCCCUUCAUCAACGAAGAUGGACCCUAAGCUUAUUUCCUGGAGAACAUUUCCAAGGCACAAACAGAGAGGGGAAUUCAAGCAGAGCCCAGCAGUUUUCAGAUUUGAGAAGAUAGACAUGGAGGUCCAAAGAUGGACUUCUGGCACUCACAGGAUGGAACAGACAAAAGAGGUGGUUUUUGUUUGUUUGUUUGUUUGUUUUAGAUUUUGUUUUACAGGGAGAGAAGAUACAUUUCUGAUUCCCAUGGAGGGCUCUUUCCAAGUCUUCAGCUAAGUGCUGAUCAAUGCACAAAUACAGAGAAAUGAUCUGAGCUGUGUAGAGAACCAAAGGGUAAGAGGGAAAGAGUGGAUGAAGAGAGGUUGGUCAAUGGAACCAAGAAAAAAGUUUGAAAAAAUAUGAUUUAGUAUUUAGUACAGCAUAGUGACUAUAGUUAAAGAUGAUUUAUUGUAUAGUUGAGAAAAGCUAGAAAAAUUGGAAUAUUCCUAAUGUAAGGAAAGAAAUUGUUGGAGGUAAUAGACAUCAUAAUUACCUUGAUCUGAUCAUUACAUAUUGUAUGCAUAUAUGAAAAUAUCACAUGUGCCCCCAAAGCUUGUUCAACUAUUGUGUAUUAAUUAAAAACUGGGAAUGACAGUUCCUAUCUUACGGAGUUGAUAUAAGAACUUAAAUAAAAUAAUGGUGACUACGAUAUUAAAAAAGAGA
rnacentral:lncRNA from 13 species